rnacentral:rRNA from 1 species
GACGAACCGUGCGAACGUUAUUCGGAAUCACUGGGCUUAAAGCGCGUGUAGGCGGGCCGCCACGUCGGGCGCUGAAAUCCCCCGGCUCAACCGGGGAACGGGCACCGAUACGAGCGGCCUGGAGGGGAGUAGGGGGACCUGGAACUUCCGGUGGAGCGGUGAAAUGCGUUGAGAUCGGAAGGAACGCCCGUGGCGAAAGCGAGGUCCUGGACGUUUACUGACGCUGAGACGCGAAAGCCAGGGGAGCGAACGGG